CCCAUAUUUCUUGAAAACAGCGUUGGCAUCGCCAUCGAAAGAGAAACUAGUGAUUAGAACAGUCAACAUUGGUUUUGCCUCCUUACGAUAUAAAAGCAUGUUUUCGCCUACUAUCUUAUCAUAAACUAGAGCGCGACCGUCUUAAGCAAAUCAAGUAGGACCAACCGGCUUAGCAAACUUUGAGACUUGGAGAUCCUCCAGAUAAAUCAUCGACGACGUCACAUUCAACAAACGCAGAUGGGUAACUCAGGUGGUGGAGGUGGUUUUGGUGGUACUGAUGGCGGUGGUGGUGGGGGUGGCGGAGGUGGAGGUUUCGGUGGCGGUGGGGGUUCCGGCGGCGGUGGCAGCAAAAUCUGGGGUUCCGAAGACCGCUCAUACGGCAUUCCUGUAGGUGUUAUGAACAAAAGGACCAUCGAAAAUUCUGUUGACUUCCAGUUUCUGCAGAAUGACAUCCUCAUGAGCAGGACUCGGGACUCAUUCUAACGUGCCAUUUCACUUUAUCAUAUACAAAAAUAGUUUCUGUAUUCUUAUAUUUGGCAUAAUGUGUUUUCAGAUUGCUUUCAGUUUGACACUGUUUGACAUUAAUAUGUGACACUGGUAAAAGGAACGGGCAAUUUUACAGUUAAUCAAAUGUCUAUUUUCUGUCAUAACUUCACUUGUAACGCAAAUAAAAUAAUAUAAACAUA